GACGAACGCUGGCGGCGUGCUUAACACAUGCAAGUCGAGCGAACGUAGCAAUACGUUAGCGGCGGACGGGUGAGUAACGCGUGAGCAAUCUGCCUCUAUCAACGGGAUAACACUUAGAAAUAGGUGCUAAUACCGUAUAAGACCACGAUGCCGCAUGGCAUAGCGGUAAAAGCCACGACGGAUAGAGAUGAGCUCGCGUCCCAUUAGCUAGUUGGUAGUGUAACGGACUACCAAGGCGACGAUGGGUAGCCGACCUGAGAGGGUGAUCGGCCACAUUGGAACUGAGAAACGGUCCAA
rnacentral:rRNA from 1 species